rnacentral:rRNA from 1 species
AUGAUGAUUGGACUAUUCCUGAACCACCGCCUAAACCCACUCCAAAGAAGAGGGGUUAAAUAUAUGCAAGAGGCAAAGAAAUCUAUGAAGGAAAAAGGUAUUAAAGCUGAGGAUGUUAAAAUUUUACCUCCUAUUGAAGAAAUACAUGGGCUUAAUACACCACCACUGCCUAAGGUGGUAGAGGUAAAUUCUAUUAUGAAGUUUAAUGAUAAUGAUAAUCCUCACAAUAUGCAUCCUAGCCAAUGCCUUUAUGAGUUUGAAAACUACAUUAGAAAACAAGAUCACUUCAAUGCAAAUGUUAUGAAACAGUUGAAAUAUAAUUCUGAUACGAUUGCUCGCUUGAGUGACUUGUUAUUUAGAAUAUCAAAUGAUGUUAGAGGUGUUGGAAAGCUUGCUUCUAUGGUUCAAACUCAAUUAGAACAAGUUUCUAAAUCUCAAAGAGAAUUACUUGAUGAAAUGAAUCAUAAUGUGCAUGACUUUGUUGUUAGAGUUGCAACUAGAGGAUGUAAAAUGACUCAGGAACCACUUUAUCCUGAGGGACACCCUAAAAGAAUUGAACAAGAUUCACAAAGAGCUAAUACUAGUGCACCUAGUUCUUCUAAAAAGAAGAAGAAAAAGAAAAAUGAUAGGACUUCACAUGCUCCUAGUGAACCUGAAAUAGAGAAACCUCCUGAUAAUGAUAAUGAAAUUUCUAUCUCUGAUGCUGAAACUCAAUCUGGCAAUGAACAAUCACCUACUGAUGAUGAAAAAGGUAAUGCUGAGGUUCAUGAAAACUCUCAACCAAACAAUGAAAAAGAACCAGAUAAUGAUGUUGAGAUAGAACCACAUGUUGAUCUUGAUAACCCACAAGCCAAAAAUAAAAGAUAUGACCAAAGAGACUUUGUUGCUAGGAAACACGAUAAAGAAAGAGAACCGUGGGUUCAAAAACCUAUGACUUUUCCACCCAAGUCAACUAAAAAGAAUGAUGAUGAAGAAUUUGAACGCUUUGCUGAAAUGCUGAGGCCAGUCUUUUUGCGUACUCGCUUGACUGAUAUCUUGAAAAUGCCUCCUUAUGCAAAGUAUAUGAAAGACAUCAUCACAAAUAAGAGAAAAUACUAG